rnacentral:rRNA from 1 species
GCGGCAUGCCUUACACAUGCAAGUCGAACGGCAGCAUGAUCUAGCUUGCUAGAUUGAUGGCGAGUGGCGAACGGGUGAGUAAUACAUCGGAACGUGCCCUGUAGUGGGGGAUAACUAGUCGAAAGAUUAGCUAAUACCGCAUACGACCUGAGGGUGAAAGUGGGGGACCGCAAGGCCUCAUGCUAUAGGAGCGGCCGAUGUCUGAUUAGCUAGUUGGUGAGGUAAAGGCUCACCAAGGCGACGAUCAGUAGCUAGUCUGAGAGGACGAUCAGCCACACUGGGACUGAGACACGGCCCAGACUCCUACGGGAGGCAGCAGUGGGGAAUUUUGGACAAUGGGCGAAAGCCUGAUCCAGCAAUGCCGCGUGUGUGAAGAAGGCCUUCGGGUUGUAAAGCACUUUUGUCCGGAAAGAAAUGGCUCUGGUUAAUACCUGGGGUCGAUGACGGUACCGGAGGAAUAAGGACCGGCUAACUACGUGCCAGCAGCCGCGGUAAUACGUAGGGUCCAAGCGUUAAUCGGAAUUACUGGGCGUAAAGCGUGCGCAGGCGGUUGUGCAAGACCGAUGUGAAAUCCCCGAGCUUAACUUGGGAAUUGCAUUGGUGACUGCACGGCUAGAGUGUGUCAGAGGGGGGUAAGAAUUUCACGUGUAACAAUGAAAUGCGUAGAGAUGUGGAGGAAUACCGAUGGCGAAAGCAGCCCCCUGGGAUAACACUGACGCUCAUGCACGAAAGCGUGGGGAGCAUACAGGGUUAGAUACCCUGGUAGUCCACGCCCUAAACGAUGU